rnacentral:lncRNA from 1 species
UUUUAUCCUGGUUCACCACAAUCCGUGGCUAGUCCAGUCCCCAAGAGACUCUCUCGAGAUUCCACUAUCUUCGUCAAGCUUACGGGUGCUUAACAAACCGUUGCAGUUGCUCAAGGAUACCGCACCUUAAGACUUCACUUGCUUGAGGAUACCUCACCCCAAGACUUCAACCACUAAGACUUUGGGUACUUAGCAAACCCGAC